AACAGACCGAGCGAGACUCUCCGACUAAGAGGCAGGCUCAAACUACAAGCUAAAGGACCUCGUCGGUAUUCUGCAUUCAGUAAUAUCCUUUACUCUUUUGGGGAGGCUUUACAUUGGAUGUUGGGACAUUGCUGUGAGGAUCUGAUUCCAUUCUGAACAUUAGUGAGAUAAAAAAGUGACAGAGUUGCAGUGACUGUGCAGAGCUGCAUGAUGCAUUCUACCCUCAGGGGAAACAUGGAUGACAGGAGAACAGUGAGAAAAGUCUCAGGAGAGGAGGCACUGGGGAGAAUCGUCUGGAACAGCAGAGAAGAAAGUAGUCCUCCCGCCUCUCCAUCUGAUGACUUGUCUGUGGCUGGUCUACUGACAGGGAAGCCACAGUAACUGAUAUUCAAGACACUUUGUCAAAAAUAUGAACAAAAAAAAAAAAAAGAGCGAUUUGCAGUGGUAGUGCAUUGAGAUGAAGAUUAGUAACAUCAUGUAGAUGAAUGACUGACUUAAAUGACUGGAAAUGAAUAAAGGAAAAAGUAUACAUUUGCUCUGA